CCUACGGGAGGCUGCAGUGAGGAAUAUUGGUCAAUGGGCGGAAGCCUGAACCAGCCAAGUAGCGUGCGGGAUGAAGGCCCUACGGGUCGUAAACCGCUUUUGCACGGGGAUAACACCCUCCACGUGUGGAGGUCUGCAGGUACCGUACGAAUAAGGGCCGGCGAAUUCCGUGCCAGCAGCCGCGGUAAUACGGAGGGUGCGGGCGUUAUCCGGAUUUAUUGGGUUUAAAGGGUGCGCAGGCGGCGAGUUAAGUAAGCGGUAAACGUUCGGGGCUCAACCCCGGCCAGCCGUUGAAACUGGCUUGCUAGAGUUGGCGAGAAGUAUGCGGAAUGCGUGGUGUAGCGGUGAAAUGCAUAGAUAUCACGCAGAACUCCGAUUGCGAAGGCAGCAUACCGGCGCCCAACUGACGCUCAGGCACGAAAGCGUGGGUAUCGAACAGGAUUAGAUACCCCAGUAGUC
rnacentral:rRNA from 1 species